rnacentral:rRNA from 1 species
UACGGGGGGGGGCAAGCGUUGUUCGGAAUUACUGGGCGUAAAGGGCUCGUAGGCGGCCAACUAAGUCGGAUGUGAAAUCCCCAAGCUUAACUCCGAAACUGCAUUCGAUACUGCGGUGCUUGAGGACUGGAGAGGAGACUGGAAUUCAUGGUGUAGCAGUGAAAUGCGUAGAGAUCAUGAGGAAGACCAGUGGCGAAGGCGGGUCUCUGGACAGUUCCUGACACUGAGGCACGAAGGCCAGGGGAGCAAACGGG